rnacentral:misc_RNA from 1 species
GAUGAAGAACGUAGCGAAAUGCGAUAAGUAGUGUGAAUUGCAGAAUUCAGUGAAUCAUCGAAUCUUUGAACGCACAUUGCGCCCUUUGGUAUUCCUUAGGGCAUGCCUGUUCGAGCGUCAUUUAAACCUUCAAGCUCAGCUUGGUGUUGGGUGACUGUCCGCUUCACCGCGGACUCGCCUCAAAAUUAUUGGCGGCCGGUACAUUGGCUUCGAGCGCAGCAGAAACGCGAACUCGGGCCCGUCGUAUUGGCUCCCAGAAGCUAUCUUCACAAUUUUGACCUCGGCUCAGGUAGGGAUACCCGCUGAACUUAAGCAUAUCAAUAAGCGGAGGA